UACAGAGGGGGCAAGCGUUAUUCGGAAUUAUUGGGCGUAAAGGGCGCGUAGGCGGCUUUGCAAGUGGCGGGUGAAAUCCCUCGGCUUAACCGAGGAACUGCCUGUCAAACUGCAUGGCUUGAGACCGGGAGAGGUGAGUGGAAUUCCCAGUGUAGCGGUGAAAUGCGUAGAUAUUGGGAGGAACACCAGUGGCGAAGGCGGCUCACCGGACCGGUACUGACGCUGAUGCGCGAAAGCGUGGGGAGCAAACAGG
rnacentral:rRNA from 1 species